rnacentral:rRNA from 1 species
AGUGAACGCUGGCGGUAAGCCUAACACAUGCCAGUCGAACGGCAGCACAGUAAGAGCUUGCUCUUACGGGUGGCGAGUGGCGGACGGGUGAGGAAUACAUCGGAAUCUACUUUUUCGUGGGGGAUAACGUAGGGAAACUUACGCUAAUACCGCAUACGACCUACGGGUGAAAGCAGGGGAUCUUCGGACCUUGCGCGAUUGAAUGAGCCGAUGUCGGAUUAGCUAGUUGGCGGGGUAAAGGCCCACCAAGGCGACGAUCCGUAGCUGGUCUGAGAGGAUGAUCAGCCACACUGGAACUGAGACACGGUCCAGACUCCUAAGGGAGGCAGCAGUGGGGAAUAUUGGACAAUGGGCGCAAGCCUGAUCCAGCCAUACCGCGUGGGUGAAGAAGGCCUUCGGGUUGUAAAGCCCUUUUGUUGGGAAAGAAAAGCAGCAGGUUAAUACCCCGCUGUUCUGACGGUACCCAAAGAAUAAGCACCGGCUAACUUCGUG